rnacentral:lncRNA from 1 species
UUUUCAUGCAUGUGAUUUAUAUAUUUGUUUAUAUAACAUUAGAUAAACAUGAAUAAUUUCUUAACAAGAAAUAAUCUCUAAAUAAGAGUUUGAACCAUUCAAAACAAAUACACACAAACAUAUCUCAACAUUGAUAUAUCCUUGACAAACCAUGAAGACUACAUUACUUUCCACCCUCUAUUUCAUCCUCUUUGCCCUAACCACCUACUUUCCAUUACACUUUACUCAAGUUAUUUUCAUCCUAUGAUUAGGCUUAAUGAGACAGAACAAUGUCCACUUGUUGUACAGCAAGCUUUUUCUGAGGAUGUUAAAAACAGAAAACAUCAAUGAUUUCAUCUUUACUGGCUAUACAUCCCUAGAUAUUGUAUUUGAAAAGAAGACAAAAUGUGCUGAAUCCUCCAAGUGGGUGGUAGUUAAAGGUGGUUUCAUGGAACCAUGGAUAGGUAUUGGUGGUGGUGUUAAUGGUAAGAGUGUUAUAGAUGGUUUGUUUAAGAUUGAGAGAAUUAGGGGUUUUCUUCGAUACAAGCUUGUGUUUUGUCCCACCAUUAGUGAUCCACCUGGUUUAUGUAAUAAUAUUGGAAGAUUUUUUGAUAAUGAGAAUGGACUGCGUUUGAUCAUGAGCGAAAAUUUUAAACCUUUUGAAGUUGUAUUCGUUGAUGUUGAAGAUGCUCCUCGAUCCGGAAGAUCUGUAGUUUGAAUAAAAAAUGUCAACCCUUUGAAGUUGUAUUCGUUGAUGUUGAAGAUGCUUCUCGAUCCGGAAGAUCUGUAGUUUGAAUAAAAUUUUCAAUCAAGUAUUCAAUAACAAGUUAGGCUUACGGUUUUCGAACCUUUGCUUUGUAUUUCGUCAUGAUUUAGUGUGGGGUCUUUUUGGUGGGUCGAUUAUCUAAAUGCUUUUUCGAACUUGUGGUUUAAUUAAUCUUUGUACUUUUCACCCUAUCUGAUAAAGUUUUUGCUGUUAAAAAAAGGAAGUUAGGGCAACCUAAUUCUUAGUCCCAUCAAUAUUUUACCUUGUUUACUCUAUAUAAGACUUCAUACUUCAAACUUUUGAGAGAUCUUAAAGAGAAAGAAUCUUGGAAAAUCGAGAGUGGUAAGUUUAGGGUUGAGGUUCUUUGCACUACAAGAAACUUGACAUAUAGUGACAGCAAAAAAUCGAACAUAAAUAUCAUUCUUACAUAGGUAUAACCUAGAAUACCUAUACCUAUACGGAAGGUCUUUGUACUCAAUAAUCUGUCUAUACCUACGGAUUACAUAGGUAUAACCUAGAAUACCUAUACCUAUAACUCGGCACCCUUCUGAUUUGAUUCUGGAGUAUGGUGGACCGAUCGCUUUUGAUUCGAGAUCGGAAGAUAGUUUUUUUAUUCAAGUUUUUCUUUGGGAUUAUUAUGGUGUUCUUUCGAUGGAUUGGAGGUUGAGAGGUGGUGGAAGCUCAAAGAGUAUUAGAAUAUGCCUUUUUCGAAAGUGGCUCAGUUAUGAUGAUGUGAUUAGAAUGUGUUAUUUAGAGGGAUGUUUUUUGGGGUGAGUAGUGGCGAGGAGUGGUUAUCGAUAUCGUUUUCAGCGGUGGUGCGUGAUGGAGUCUGAUUUAGGUGGAGUUGUUUCUUUUGGUGGUUGUUGUCCUUGGUGGUGUUGAAGGUAGGGUUUGGUUAGGUGGUUUGCGUAUGAGUGUCUUUUAUGGUGUUUAUUUUGGGUGUUCCGCCUAUAUACAACAUCUUUUGUUUGUAGCAUUCGGUCUUUGUUCGUUUUGAGCGGGGAUCUGGUUUGUUAAAUAAAUUUUGAUGUUAAAAAAAUAAAAAACUUUAUAGAUAAAUAUUCCAUAAACAAUAUUAUAAAUCAAGUAAUUGAUUGAUUUUGUUUCAAAUUGUUGGCACUGCUCGUGGAAUGGAAAUUUAGGGGUGUUCGCGGUGCGGUUUGGUUUGGUUUUGAGGGUAAAAGUCACUCGAACCGCAAGAUAAAAAAGCAAGUAGUUUGGUUUGACUCAGUUGACUUAAAAUAAAAUCCAAACCAAAUCAAUAUAGUUUGGGUUGGAUUGGUUGGUGCGGUUUUUUGAGACGACACGUUUUUUUGUUUACAACAUUAAAAUCAAGUUAAAAAUCUAAAACACAACAUAUUUUCAGCAAUGUUUCAAAUUUCAUCAAAUAUUACAAUUUCAUUUUCAUUUUACAAUGUUUCUAACAACAUAGACCAAGUUAAAAACAUGGACAAAACGUAAGUUUAUUUUGUAAGAAAUGCAAAAGAUUAAGAUUUUAUCAUUCAUUAAAAUUUUAAGUAGCACGUUAAUACGUUUUUUAAAUAAAAAUCAAAGAAGGAAUCUAAUAAAAGAAAAAAUAUGUGAUUCAAUAAAAGUUUUCUUUGAAUUUCUAUGAGUAUUGUGUAGGCGAGAUAUGUUUAAUUAACAUUUUUUUUAUGUUGCGGUUUGGUUUGGUUUGGUUUGGUUCGGUUGGUAAAAUGAAAACCGCAAAUUAAACCAAACCAAACUAUGCGGUUGAGCAAGAAAAUGAUCCGAUUACAUCUGAAUCAAAUACGAGUUUUCUAUUGUGUUGGUUCGGUUUUGAACACCCCUAAAUGGAAUGCCAGCUAGCAAUGUUGAUGACAGUGUUCGAAUAUGUCAAAGCACAGCAGUAAAAUGCUUAGAAAGAUUUGCUAUAGAUGUGUACCAUAUAUUUGAGGCAAAGUAUCUAGGAAUGCCAACAAAUGAAUACAUUGAACGUGUUCUACAAAUGGGGGAGGCACAACUCAGGGCUUUUUAGGUAUCUUAGGUUCCAUUAAUUUUAUGCACCGGGUAUGAAAAAAUUGUCCAGUAGUGUGGAAAUUAAAGCCAAAGUUAGUCAUGUGAAGCAAGCUGAUUUUGCAAGAAAUGAUUUUCCAAUUAACUAGCUUAUUUAAGAAGCCAUAUUAACAAUAGUCCAAUUAUAUGGUACUUCAAAAACAAAGUUAUAAAAAUAAAGGUUACGUAUAAAAUAAAGGUUACGUUCCUCGUGGAAAUAUAUAAAUAAUUUAGCAUAUGCUUAGAAAGAGCAAAGUCAGCUUUGUCAUGAUAAAAAAUAGUCGAAUAUAUUUUGGCCACGAGGAGCUGGUGAAUUUAUUUUGGAGAAAACUUAGUUACAAUUCCUUAGGUGUUUUUCGUAUGGUUCUUAACUAAAAAUACAUAUUUUUUGGAUAUAACAAACUUCGAGAAAAUUAUGGAUUUGAAGAAAUCAUGGUAUUUUUAGUUAAGAACCAUACGAAAAGCACCUAAGAAAUUGUACUAAGUUUUUUCCAUUUAUUUUUUAUAAACUUCUCCAUAAUUUUCUAUUUCCGUUGAUUCUUAAGAGGCUAAAAAAAUCAAGAAUAAUAAUUUAAAGUGGUGAGUGGCCAUCAUGUGGGAGGCCGUGAAGUUGCAUAGAAUCUAUAAAUUUGUUUUAUAAUACUUGUUUUAGAUAAACAUGGAUGCUCAUGAUUUCAAAGCAAAUUAAUUAAUACUCCAAAACUAUACUCUUAGACCAUGUCUAUAAAUUAAGGUUUUAUACAUAGAGAGAUUGCAAAACAAAUACACACAAACAUAUAUCAACAUUGAUAUAUCCUUAACAAACCAUGAAACCUACUUUACUCGCCACCCUCCCUUUCCUCCUCUUUGCCCUAACCACCUACUUUCCAUUACCCUUUACUCAAGGUGUUGAACAAGUGAAGGAUAAAAAUGGAAACCCCAUUCUUGUGAGUAAGAAAUACUUUAUUUGGCCAGCUGAU